AACAGAAAAGCCCACAUCAGUGUGCAUUUGCAAUCACAAAAAUAAACGCCGGCCACAAUGACCUUGUUUUCAACAUAAACAUGAAGAUCGCAAAUGGAUGCAAUGCCACAGAGAUUUUCCCAGGACUUUUUCACAACUGCCUCGUGGCAGUGAAACGAGUUGCCAAGCAUAUUUCCCAAAAAGAGUUGGAAAUGGCUCAUUACUUGUGUUCAGACAGUUCAACUUUACAAGCAGAGCAUCUUUCUAUUUGCCCUGCAAGAUGGAAUAGGCAAAUUCAAAGGAAAAUCUCUGGAAGAAAUAACACCCAACAUCAACUCUGAGCAGGACCUGAGCGACUCAGAUGCAGAGGAAGUCCAAUCUGAGCAGACUGCAACACCAAGUCAAGAAGGAAACUCAGAGGGUGGACAUUCAGAUCACAGGGCUGCUACCUCAAAGAAGAAAACUGGGGUCAUAAAAAACUCAAAUCAAAAGGAGAAACCAAGAAGGCCCUGGUCACAGUCUGAGAGAAAAAUCGUGGAACACCAUUUCAAGGACUUCCUGGAGGAAAUGAAGCUCCCUGGAAAAGUAGACUGUCAAAGAUGCUUAAAUGAAAAUCAGACUCUAAGGGACAAUGGAAGAGACUGGAAAACCAUAAAAUACUUUCUGCACAACAAAAUAGUAUAUAUCAAAAAGAAUGUGUGCCAAGAGCGUUAAGACCAAUAAAACUGUUGGAAAAAAUGUUGUUGUACUGGAUAGUCAGGAUCCUGUAUUGGAGACUGCACUAUUCAGUAGGAAAACACACCUCAACGCAUCACAACGUCGAAGUCAUCCACAAGCGACAGCAGUCAGCGGGAAAGAGGAAGUCGGCAGCUGCCUUCACUCUCCUACCCAUCGGCUCUAUAGCCUAGUUUCUAAUGUAUUAAUAUAGUGUUUUUAAAAAAACAAAGAUACAUUUUUACAUGUAGUAAGCAUUUAGCCUCACGCUAAUUUAUCAAGACUCGAGUAGGGCUUCAUCGCCUCCUGCCUUCAGCCUCUCCAACCAUUUCAGUGCCCUGUCGGAAUCGGAACUAGUAGCGGCCGAUGUGGUUCGCCGGGCUCGCCCCGCUUCAAAGCCGACUGACCAGCCGUCGUCACAGAAGAGGACCGCUGCCUCGCAGCUUAAGCUUGUAAGAGAAGCGGUAGCCAGACAAUCCGGUGGCCUGCACUGCCUGGAUCGGCCCUAAUGACAACGUUUCUCAAAAACAAUCUCCCCAACCGACCGGUAAGCAAUCUUGCUCUUCUUUUCCAUGUCCAUCUGUAACCGACACUGACUGUUUUGCUCCUGUCACCGGCCAUCCACACCCCCCCACCCCUCGUACGCACCACAGUAAUUAUUGGUGACUCCAUCACCAGAGAUUUAACGUUUCAUAAUGCUGUCACACACUGCUUUCCUGGAGCCAAAGUUAUGCUAUUAUAAUUCUAGACUGCCGGGGAAGUUCCUUCCUUCCUAUGACACACUGAGCUGCUCUCUCAUCUCUGUUUUCAUCUGUUUCCUUUUGUGUGCAUCGUUGUCCCAGAAAUACAUGUUAGUAACCUAGCUCCGGGGAGUUUACUCCCUGGAGUCUUUAUAUUUUUUCUUCGCAGAGCUACGCUGCAAUGUCCGGUCGUGUCCUGCUACGUCCUGCUGCGUCCACUGCAUCCACCCAUGCUCUGCUGUGCCAUGUUACAUCCCGCAACACCCUCCUGUGCCCUGCUAUGACAUGAACUACAACGACUACCUUGUAGUCACUGUUCCAUUAUCUUUAUUAUGACUGCCACUGUCUGACACCGCCUAUCUAGAGGUCUGCCGAGGUUUCUUCCUAAAAGGGAGUUUUUCCUCGCCACUGUCGCAAUAGCCACUGCUAAUACUUGCUCUUAAAGGAAUUACUG